rnacentral:rRNA from 1 species
GACAGAGGGGGCAAGCGUUGCUCGGAAUUACUGGGCGUAAAGGGCGCGUAGGCGGAAUGGCAAGUCGGUCGUGAAAUCCUUCGGCUCAACCGAAGAACGUCGAUCGAAACUGCCGUUCUUGAGGAUUGCAGAGGAGACUGGAAUUCCCGGUGUAGCGGUGAAAUGUGUAGAGAUCGGGAGGAACACCGGUGGCGAAGGCGGCGAUCUGGGUCGAUACUGACGCUGAGGUGCGAAAGCGUGGGGAGCAAACAGG